UACGGGGGGAGCAAGCGUUGUUCGGAUUUACUGGGCGUAAAGGGCGCGUAGGCGGCCACCGCAAGUCGGUCGUGAAAUCUCUGGGCUUAACCCAGAAAGGUCAACCGAUACUGCGGGGCUAGAGUGCAGAAGGGGCAACUGGAAUUCUCGGUGUAGCGGUGAAAUGCGUAGAUAUCGAGAGGAACACCUGCGGCGAAGGCGGGUUGCUGGGCUGACACUGACGCUGAAGCGCGAAAGCUAGGGGAGCGAACGGG
rnacentral:rRNA from 1 species